UGGGCUGCUGAUUUUGAGGGUUGGCAGAUGUUACCAAAGUAGCCCUGCCUGUAUGCUCAGAAACAGAUUUAAAUCCAUUUCAUUCACAUCCACAAUUCAAAAUUACCCCCAAAAAAGAAAAUUAAAUUGUAGCAGCAGGCUGCAGCUUCUUCUUUCAUCUGUUCUCCAACCUGGCUUUUCACACCCAAAUCAGCUGUCAGCACAAGUGUUACGACCUGGAUUCAAAGAUGCUUUUUAAACCUCUGAUUACAUGGCCUACUUUCUGGCUAUGAAAUGAGGCCAGGUGGAUGCUAUUUUAAAAGCCUUCUAAAGACCAUGGCUAAAACAGCUGACAACAUUACCGGACCACUGGGGCUUAAAGGGUUUCACAGGGCCUCUGUGUCUGAGAGAAGUGCUGGCUUUAUCUCUGUGUUUUGCAUUUCAUUUGUUUCAUUUACUAACAGGACUUUAGGAAUCCUAAGUGUUGUGCCCCUCCCCUUAUCAUCCCCAGGCAAUUCCUCUCCCACUGUUUGUGUGGAAUCUCUAGCCUUUUUAACAGACCAGUCUGUCACUAACACCACACCCUGCCUUUUCUCCAUCGUCCUAUACUGAAGAAGCUACAAGCAAUAUCCAAGUACCCCUAAAACCACAGCAAAUUGAGGAGAGAUGCUGAAGGAGAACAAGGACAGCAGGACUCUCAUGGAACUGUCCCCUGCAGCAGCUACAUUUGAAGCAUAAAGCCUUGGUUUGUUUAGUACCAGUACAACUCCUUUCCUUUUCUGCUUUCCUUAAAUUGUUUCUCAACCCUGUUGCUCUCUCCUUCAGGACAUACUCCUGUUUCCAAGUGCCUGCCCACACCAGAGCUGAAGCAAUAGCUGAGUUUUCCCUCCUAAAUACAAGUAAUGCUUCCCAUUAAAAGAUUCGCUGGACUACUCCACAAGGCUGCCACAGAGUAUUUGAUCUGCUGCAGAGCUAACUGUGCCAGCAACCUCUGAAGCUCGCAAAGAAGUAGGGGUGGUAAGUACAAGGCUUGGCUUCCCGUGGAGUCUGCGGAGGUUGUCCCCGAGGGAACUAAAGAAAGUAGCUUACCUCUUUGCCAGCUUGGCUGCAUCUGCUGCAGCACUUCCGUUGACUAGAAGGGACACGUUAGAUAUCGCACCGGCCAGGAAACAGUCCACGAUGCCUUGGUUUCUCCGAGGACAAUAGCCAAAGUCAUCUCCAGUUAUUAUUAGCUUCACCUGAAGCAUCCUUAGAUGUCAUCUCUAGCAAAAAAAAGUAAAGGAGGUUAAAUCGGAACACUCGGCAGUCUGCAGAUCACAGGCAAACAGGAAAAGACAAGCUCACCGGGGGCGAACCCAAUGGUGACUCAGCCCCUGACUAACUCCUCCUGCUCCACCUUAGCCCGCCGCUGGCUCGCAGCGCAGUGGCCGGAUCUGCGUGUGGCCGCCGGGCUCACAUCAGCCCUACCCUCCCCUGCGGAAGGAAAGCCUUGCCUGCACUUUGUACCGCCGGGGAUGAGGAGCGUGCGAAAGGUACACCUUGAGAUGAUGUUUGGCUUCAAUGGCAAUGGCAUGAGACCAUCAGAACAAAUUAAGUAAGAAAAUCUGAAGAGUUCUCACGAACUUCAAAAGUUUACAUCAGAAGUGGAAGACAAAAAGAUUUUUGCCUAAUCAGAAAAUGAGUAUUAGCAAAGUGGAAUUAAUCAAGAAACCCAUUAGCCAAAAUAUCUCUACCAAAAAACAGAACCAAUGUCUUCAAAAGUCCCAGAAGUCUACCAUGAGAGUAGAAGACUCAGUGAAGCAUGAAGCAUGUCAUCUCAAAAGAAUUCCUUCUCCAGAAAAGCUGGUGCUACCAAUGAAAGCAUUGGGAAUGCCUCAGCAAUGUAACACGUAAAUUCAUCUGGAAGAUCACUUACAGGAAUUGUUGUCGUCUCCCAGCAUCACUGAAAGCACCUGGAAAACCUCAGCUGAUUGAAUGGAAAUGCACAUUAAUUCCUUUGGAGUUCUCAGGGGAGAUCCUAUGCUCUUGAAGCAUCAGUUAAGUUCGUUGAGAGAUGGUGACAUUACUGGACACAGAUUGCCAAGACUCUGAAGAACUUUCAAGGACAUUUUUCUACCUCAAAGACUAGAAACAAAAAACAGAGGUUAAAAAAUCCUCAACUCCUCUCCCCCAGAUGAAAAAAAUCUUCAAUUGUAUAUGCGUAUAUGUUAAUACUUUUUUUUUUUCCAAAAAUCUUCUGUUUAGUUACUAUGCUUGUUCUUACAUUAUAUCUACUGAAUGCAAAAAUCUCAACAAGUUAAUUUUGAUAUCUAGUCCUUAAACGACUUAUGCUGAGUGAUAAGGAACUGUAAUUCUAUAAAUUUCUGGCAAGCAAUUUUUUUAUUUACUGUUCACUAUUUGUAUCAGGCUUAGGGGUCACAGUUAAAAGAGUUCUACUGUAAGGUAUUCCAGUGGAGAUGAAUGUUUGAUCUGAAGUGAGGUUUACAAACAGCUCUUCAUCAGUGUGGGGUGAAAGAAGGAGACAGAAGAAAAACACAGAAUGUUUACUUUUACUGCCUCUUAUGGAUAUCAGAGAAAGGACCAGAUGGAGAGAAAAAUCAGUGGAAGAGCUCAUGUGGAUUUGUCUUUGUAUCAAGUACUAAUGUCUGUAGAAUUGUGCCCUGUCUUUUUUGCCUACGGUUCAUGUCAGUCUGAGAAAGAAUCCAGGUGUUACUGCAGUGUUUUCUCUAAAUCAAAGGCUGGCUAUACCAAUAGAUGCACCAGUGCUUUUUGGGGUGUAGAUCAAGCCCAAGAGCUGCCAGCUCUGCCAUCUUAGUUGUCAGUCACUGUUUUUGUCAUGCAAAGCAAACAGAAAGUUUAAAGCAUCCAUAAGAAAGGCCAAUAUAAAAAGGAAAGCCCUCUUUUCUAUAAUCUGUUGCAUUGGGGCAGCAUACUCUGAAAUUUUCUUGCGACACAGAUUUUUCAUUCCUGUAUGCUAAAAGCAUUUGGCAGCACCAAAUCCUGUUCUUCAGGGAGGGCCAUGUUAUACCUACAGCUGCACCUGAGUAGAAAUGGCAAACAUUUUCAAAAUCCUUCAAAAUCAAAUGUGCAUAAGGACUGCAGAGUUGUGACUGAAGGUAGAAGGUUUUCUAGUUACAUUUGCAUUCUCUCCUUUUGCAGCACUGUUGAAUUAUUUUGUUCAUAAUGAGAUUCCUAUCAAAAAAGCUGAUAUUUCCAUGACCAGUAUGCAGUCACAUAAUUUCUGUGGCAAUUUUACCUGUAUCUUACAGCAGUCUACUGGAAACAAUAGUGGGCCCUGUCACAAUGAGGUGGUUGUUAAUUGCCGUGGGUGUUUGGCAUUGACGGGUUCUUUGUUGGCAACCGUUCUAACCCAAUUAUAUUUCUAAAGUAGGACUGAAAAGCGUUGUAGGGAGCACCAUGUAAAUGGCACUAAAUGCACUGAGACUGAGCGACCUCCCAGAAAGACAGACAGGUGCCAGCUAAAGCCCCAUAUGAUUGAUUUUCCAUGGCUAAAAUGGCAACCACAGACAUCUGAGUUUGCCCCACUUAUACAAGAGCAGCAAAUGUGAGCUGUUGUCUUAGUUGGAACAGCAAGGCCGCUUAGAAUGACAUAAAAAUAUGGCAUUUGAAUAUCAACAUGGGAUCUUUUGCUUUUCUGUGAGUAAACUUUUAUACUUCCAGCACCAGGAAAUGAGUUUUCAGGCCUGAGAAAAGUACUAGGGCUUGUUUUAAAGCAGACCUGGCAUUUAAGUCAGAGAUAUUUCUGAGAUGUAGGUAUAGCUAAAAAAAUGGUACAAAGCCAGCGUAAAGAAAACUAACCAUUCGAUUGAAUGGUAUCACAUGGAUUGGAAAAAGCCUUGCAGCUCCAAGACUAGUGGAAGAGGGAGAAAGUCAACUGAGCAUCUUAUGACGUUUGCACUAACCAGCAACACUAAUGUGCUUUCUAAAUCAUCCUGCAACAGAAAGUGUAGUGUUUCAAUUCUUUGCUGUUGCAGGCACAUAAUACCACUGUUACCAAGACUGAAGUCCCAAGGCAGGCGCCCGUCUACCUGUUGCCUUGCCACUAAGAAGAUCGAAAUCUUUUGAUCUGUUAAAUUACUUUGUAUUCCUCAGAGUGUUAUGCGGGACUCACACCAGGCUCUGAUGGGAUACGAGUCAUUCCAAUAAGCAGUUUAAGAGGCAAGAGCUAACAAACUA